rnacentral:rRNA from 1 species
UACACCUGUUCCCAUUCCGAACACAGAAGUUAAGCUCUCUAGCGCUGAUGGUACUUGGUGGGAAACUGCCUGGGAGAGUAGGACGUAGCCACGUU